GAUGAACGCUGGCGGCGUGCCUAAUACAUGCAAGUCGAGCGAACAGACGAGGAGCUUGCUCCUCUGACGUUAGCGGCGGACGGGUGAGUAACACGUGGAUAACCUACCUAUAAGACUGGGAUAACUUCGGGAAACCGGAGCUAAUACCGGAUAAUAUAUUGAACCGCAUGGUUCAAUAGUGAAAGACGGUUUUGCUGUCACUUAUAGAUGGAUCCGCGCCGCAUUAGCUAGUUGGUAAGGUAACGGCUUACCAAGGCAACGAUGCGUAGCCGACCUGAGAGGGUCAUCGGCCACACUGGAACUGAGACACGGUCCAGACUCCUACGGGAGGCAGCAGUAGGGAAUCUUCCGCAAUGGGCGAAAGCCUGACGGAGCACCGCCGCGUGAGUGAUGAAGGUCUUCGGAUCGUAAAACUCUGUUAUUAGGGAAGAACAAAUGUGUAAUUAACUAUGCACGUCUUGACGGUACCUAAUCAGAAAGCCACGGCUAACUACGUG
rnacentral:rRNA from 1 species